GGGGAGACUGCGACUCGGGCCCGGGGACCCGCGACGCGACAGUCACCUGCCGCGCGCCCCCGCCGGCUCGGCCUCACGCCGCCACGGCGAGUGGUUCGGGUGGGAACUGAGCAAGGGCGCGAGGCCCUUCCCUUUGUGGCGGCCGCGGCGGCGGCGGCGGCGGCGUCUUGGAGCUCCUGGGCAAGGGAGGUGCGAGUCGUUCACUUGCGCCUUGACGUCCUAGUACUUUCGCGCCCCCUCUGCCCCCCAGCCACCACUAACCCCCCAUAGAGACGAAACCCGCAGAGCGGGAGGCAGGGGGUGGGAUAGGGAUGCGCCCCGGGCGGUCUCGGCUGCUGCGGACUAGCUGCGCAAAGUUCUGCCUCCCAGGCCCGGAAAGGGGCGCCGGAGGGGGAGAGGGGGAGGGACCCAGGUCUCAGUCUACGCCUGAGGACGUUCAGCUUUGCGGCCCCGACCUUACCCCUCCUGCAAAGCCAGUGUCUGAUCUCCAAAGCCAAAUGUACCAAGUACUUUAACAUUUGAUCGGUUUCUCAAUCUGUGCCUGCCCUCUUUUCUCCCCUGCAGACUUGAUUUUUUUUUCUUGUGUUGGAGAAAAGACUGCUUCUGGUUCUCGUGGUAUUGAGGCUCGUGGUAUUGAAGUUCUGUUUUAGAGGCGGGGAUUGGAGACUCAUUUUAAAUAAAGACCGGUGUCCUUUUGUAGGUGCUGUUUGCCUCAGCCUUUUACCCUGUUGGAUUCAAACUAUGCGCUGGCACAGAGCUGUUACUGCUGCCCCUUAGAAGUGAGAUUCUGCGAACCAUGGUGACUGGAGAAGUGGGUCAGCCUAAAAACACGAUAGGGAAGCCUGAGUCACAGAUGGCUUAUUUAUUCAGUUCAUGAAGAGUCUUCCAAGUAUUUGUAUUUUAUUCAACGUUUAUUUUAAGCUUUAAGGAAGGGAGGCCUUAUUGAUCUUGAAUACUUUAUCAGAUAUUAAAUGAAAAAUGAAAAAGAAAAGCUGACUACAUUUAUCUCUCUUUGGCAUGUUGCUGUUUAAUGUUUUCAGCGAACAGUUCAGUGGCAGCUGCAAGUACUGAAUGUUAUCAUUCAAGUCUAGAUUUUUUUUUAAGCCCAGAGAGGAAAUUCUACAGAAAUCUGAGCCUUAGUUCUGUUUAUGAGUAAUAGAAAUUUGCCAGUGCCAGAAGUGGGUCCAUAUGCAAACCAGUGGAUAGAUAAGUAACAUCAGUACCCAUAGGUUAUUUUUCUGGGGAGACCCUGGACUUGUCUCUCUUCAAGUUGUAUUGUUCUGUGUGAUUGAUAUUCUAGGGUGGGGGUUUAAUUAAAGCUUCCUUGCUUACAAAGUUGAGGAUACUCGGUACAAAGACAUAUUCCUUUCUGCAACCACUGAUCUGGACCUGUUUGAUGCCUUGCUAUAGACUGUUUGAAGUUCCCAGAAGAACAUCCACAGGCAUUUUGGGGCCCUGUUCAGAGGUUUCCAGAUUUAAACAUCAGCACAUUAAUUUAUAUAUUAGGAUGCCUAAUCAAAAUUCAGAGCUGCCCAGUGGAUUGGGUUGUUUUAACCAAGAGUAGGCAACACUCUUAAUUUUUUUAAUUAAUUAGUUUAAAAAAUUAAUAUAUUGGAUUAAUUGUUAUAUGUUAAAGUAUAGAGAGAUUAGCAAAACCGAAGUAACUGCUCUGCUCUGUUGAACUGCUUUCCUUUUGAUUUCAAUUUACACAGUACAAUUUAAGGAAGUUGUUCUGUUUUAGUUGGCUCAUGAGUUGAUAGUGCUCUGUAGAAACCCAAGUUUUCUUUAAGUAGCUCAAGUUUGUCAGUGUUAAAAUAUGGAAAACUUUUCCUUCCUUACUUGGCCUCUUCAUUCUCUACUAGUUUAAAUAACAAAUAAAGAGCCUUUGGAGAAUGAAUAGAUGAUGUUUUACCUCUAAUGGACAAAGUAUUACUUCUGAGCCAAUAGGCCAUGGUCAGUACACGGAGCUGCAAUUUGUUCAAUAACUCCCCUGUGGCCUGAAAGGAUUAAUAAUGCACCCAACAUUCAGUAUAAUGCAUCUAGUUGUUAUAGCUUACUGUAUUGAAACUAUAGAUUUAAAUAAAGGAAAAAUACCCUGUGAGAUACCACUAUGCUUUUGUUUUUGCAGAAUUUUUUUUACUAGCCUUAUAUUUUAUUUUAUGGGUAAUAUUGAACACCCAUAAACAAAAUGUGAGGUUUUGUGUUUAAUUUAAAGCAAUAGCAUAAGCAUUAUAAAAUACUUGAAUGUCAUCAUUGUCAUGGAAAGUGUGUACAUCAACUGUUUGGUCCACCCAAGUAUGGUAACAGUAUACCACUCUAAAAAUUACAUGCAUUCUCAAAACAUUGAUGAAGGGAGAGAUUGUCAAUUUUAAGUAGUGAGAUGCUAGCUCAAACAAUGUAGUUUUAUUAUUUUCAAAUAAAACAUGGAAAAUUAGAAGUAAGAUAAUUGAGGAUUUCCUGAAAAGAUCCCUUCAGUUACUUGCCUUACCACCUGAUUCAUGGGUCUCAGUAAAGAGCUUGAGGAAACUUGAAAAUUUGGAGGCCAAUGAAAAGUCCAAAUGAUUGAAGAAUUCCAUCCCUGUCUUCAGUGGCAGUGGGAAGAGGUUGUCUCCAACAUGACUGCUAGGAACUUGCAAAGCCGGGUGUGAGGCUGAAGAGGUAAUCCAGAGUCUUGAUUUGUUUUACCUUCUCAGUUUCUGAAGGGAUUUGGUAAAACUGUUGAAGAUGGCCACAAUGUUAAGUCCACUAAAACCCAAGGUCUUCUUGCCCCAUUAAGGUGUGUUUUCUCCAUUUGUAAACUACACCCUAGAGGACUCCUUAGCUUCAUCCUAUGAAAAGUAGCUUUUUAAUCACUGUGACAAAUACGUGAGAGGAAACAGUUUAAAGAAUGAAAGAUUGAUUUUUAUUUAUUUAUUUAUUUAUUUUUUGGACACAAUUUCAGGGCUUUCUGGCUGUGGUCCGUUAGUUCAACUGUGUGACUGGUGGGACAGAAGCUCAGCAUAGAAUGACUUAAGGAAUAAAAUUGCUCACUUUGUGGCAAUCAGAAAUUGGGGGUAUGAGUGGUACAGGAAUGUAUUUUCCUGGUAGAGGAGUUGCCCACUGUGCAUACUGCUCUGAGUUUAUUUAAUCCCUGAUACCACAAAAAUUUUAGUUAGAUGUGGUGGCGCAUGCCUGUGACCCUGGUCUUUGGAAGCUGAGGUAAACCUUGAUGUUAAGCCAUAGCCAGACAUUGUCUCAAAAAAGAAAAAGCUUGAGACAAAAUAAAAGGUUUUAUAUUGAUUUAGAGUUCUUUGGAUAUAUUCCCAGGAGUGGCAUAACUGAUCAAUAAAAUAGUUGUUUCUGAUUAUUGUUGUUGUUGUUAUUAUUAUUGACUCUCUAUACUGAUUUCCAUUCUGGUUAGGCUAAUUUACAUUUCUGCUAGCAACAUACAAGGGCUGCCUUUCCCCUACCAUCCUAGCUUCCAUUUGUUGUGUUUACUUACUUAAUGGUAGUCUCUCAGACUGGGGAUGAGAUGGAAUUUCAAUGUUUUAAUUUCUAUUUCCUAAUGGCAAAGAAUGCUGAGCUGUAUUUUUUGAAUAUUUAUUAGCUGUUUGUAUUUCAUCUCUUGACAGCUGCCUGUUCAUUUCCUUUGACCCUUUACUGACUGGAUUGUUUGGUUCCUUGGUCUUUAUGGAGUCUAGAUACUUCUGUCAAAUGCAUAAUUAGCAAAGAGUUUUCUUCCACCAUAGGCUGUCACUUCACUUGUGCAGAAGCCUUUUAAUUUCAUCAGUCUCAUUUGCCAACUCUUGUUAACAUUUCCUCUAGAAAGUCUUUGCCAGUAUCUAAGUGUUUCCCUAUAGCAAUUUCAAAGUUGCAGUCUCAUAUUAGGAUUUGAAUUGUUCUUUUUUUCCCCUAAAGUGAGAGGUACAGAUCUUGUUUUGUUCCUUUACACUAGGAUAUCCAGUUUUGCUACGAUCAUUUGUUGACAAGGCUGGCUUUUCUUCAAAAUAGGCUUUUGGCAUCUUUGUUAAAAGACAAGUGGCUGUCAUUGAGGGGUUUAUUCCAUAGCCUCUGUCUGUUCUACUGGCCUGUACACAUUGGUUUCUGUUAUGGCCUGUAGUGCAUCUUGAAAUGAGGCACCUCCAAGUAUUGCUCCUUGUGCUCAGUCUUGCUUUGACUAGUAGUGUCUUUUGUGCCUCCAUGUGAAUUUUUGGAUUUUUGUUGUUUCUAGGAAAAAUAUUGGAAUUUUGACAGUAAUUGCAGUCAGUCUGUAGGUUGCUUUUGGCAAUACACAUUAAGAAUUCUUAGAAAAACAAAACGACUCAGUACGUCACAAAAGGUAACCCUUAGAUGUUCUUUUGUUGUUUUAUUUUGUUUUUGAGACGGUCUCAAUGUCAAUGUAGGCCAGUCUAUCCUGAAUUCACUGUAGCCUGGACUGAACUCCCUCUCUCUCAGUUUUUCCUGUGCUAGGAUUACAGGUAUGAGGUAUGCGAAUUAAGAAACAAAAAUAAUAAACCCUUUUUGUACUAUCCUCAAUUGAGGGAAAUGAUUUGAAGAAAAUGCAGUGUAUCUAGCUAUUUAUUGUUAAUGGAAUUGACUAUGACCACUUCCCUUAGUAGGCUGCCUAGAAUCAGAAAAUGCAGAAACUCUUGAUUUCUCAUCAUGUAAAAUUUAAGGGAUAACUCAAAGCUGCUCUUCCUAAAAUUUGAUCUCCUGUCAAAUAUAUAAAUCAAAUGGAAAGAUGUAUUAACAGCCCUAGCCCGAGGGUUUCCCUCAUUCAAACACUUAAAACAGUGACCAGAUAACAACUGAGACUCACUUAAAACAGUGACCAGAUAUCAACUGAGGUUUGCUUCUGACAUGGUGACCUCACCUUUGGCCCAGAGCAGACUUUCCCCAGAGAUUGGUUGAAAUCCAGAGUUUGUAAGGACAGCAUACACACUCUGCUGUAUUUGUUAUUCACCACCAAUGUAUAUCACUAAAGAGAACCAGUUUGUCAUCAAUCCAUUUGAAAAGUUUUAUCACUUUUACUGGUUAUAUGAUUAAAACAUGCAGAAUAAAACUGAAAAAUAAAAUAUAGAGAGAGCAAAAUUCCUUGGCUAUUCUUAUUUCUUUAUAUCCUAGCUUAAUUAACAGUGUAACUAAUUCACAUUUUAGUAUGUGCCCAAUCAACAUAAAUAUGAUCACACUUUAUGGUUCAUUGACAGCUGUGUAUUUUUUACCAUGGCCACUGGCUAGCAAGUAGGCAUUAUUCACAUAGAGCUGUUGGGCUCUCAAAUGUGGCUAGAGUGAUUGAAGAACUAAAAUUUCAAUUUUAUUUAAAUUAACUCUUUAAAAAAGCUUUUCAUAGAUGGUGACUAUCAUAUUAGAGAACUCAGAUGAUAUGUGCCUUUGAAUUUUCUGUUUUUAUAUACUUAGGUCGCCAGACUUUUGCUAUUUGUGGAUUCUUCUUUCUUCCACCCUUUUCCACCUUUAGUCCACCUGUUCAACCUCCCUAAAACUAGAAUACAGUAUUUCCAUUUUUUUCCUUCUAGGAAUUGUCUUUAAAUUUUGAACAAGAAUGUUUUAAACAAGUUUCUCUAUCAAUGCCACAUUUUUCACCACUACCUGCUAGGCACAGAGACAUAUGCCUGCAAUCUCAGCACUUGGAAGAUGGAGGCAGAAGAAUCAGGAAUUAAAGGUCAUCCUCACCAUAGGAGGUUGGAGGUCAGCCUGAGCUCCAUGAAACCUUGUCUUAGAAAAACAAAAACAAAAUUGUAACCACUCUUCAAAACAUUCUACAACAUCACAAGACAAAAAAUGUGUAGGCUUUGAAAUAACUGGGAUCUUCAUUAGUUUCAUGUGCUUUCAUUUCUGCUCUUGUAUCCUUAAAAACAUUUAUCUGAACCAUGACAUUGUUUCACAACUGCUUUCAGGAACAUCUCACUUUUUGCCUUUGUCUCCUGGUGUGUUUUAGAGAAUAGAUCCUUUCCUUUUUUCUAUAAUUAUUUUCUUUUUUUUCCUUUUCUUUUCUUUUUUCCUAAAAACUAACUUUAUUAAAAGGAAAAGGAAGGAUGGAAAGAGUAAACACAGGUUUGAGAACUUGCAAAUACCAAGUAGACAAUAAGGAAAGGUUAGCCAUUAAAAGGCAAAGAUAGUUUUCUUUUGAAUUGCAGUUCAGUCUCCAUA